GAUGAAGAACGUAGUGAAAUGCGAUAAGUAAUGUGAAUUGUAGAAUUCAGUGAAUCAUCGAAUCUUUGAACGCACAUUGCGCCCAUUAGUAUUCUAGUGGGCAUGCCUGUUCGAGCGUCAUUAAGUCCACUUAAGCCCUGCUUAGUGUUGGGAGACUGCUCCAGCGGUGCUACCCUGUAGCUACCCUGCAGCUCCUCAAAGACAGCGGCGGAGUUGUGGUAUCCUCUGAGCUUAGUAACUUGUUCUAGCUUUCGAGUACACCACUUCCCCUGCCGUAAAACCCUUAAUUUUUAAUGGUUGACCUCGGAUCAGGUAGGAAUACCCGCUGAACUUAAGCAUAUCAAUAAGCGGAGGA
rnacentral:misc_RNA from 1 species